rnacentral:rRNA from 1 species
UACGGAGGGUGCAAGCGUUAAUCGGAAUUACUGGGCGUAAAGCGUGCGCAGGCGGUUUGUUAAGUCUGUUGUGAAAUCCCCGAGCUCAACUUGGGAAUUGCAGUGGAUACUGGCAAGCUGGAGUAUGGUAGAGGAAGGUGGAAUUCCCGGUGUAGCAGUGAAAUGCGUAGAGAUCGGGAGGAACACCAGUGGCGAAGGCGGCCUUCUGGACCAAUACUGACGCUCAUGCACGAAAGCGUGGGGAGCAAACAGG